rnacentral:lncRNA from 1 species
CUUAGAAGAUAUUCAAAUGAAGCGUUAUAAACAAUAAAUAUUAGGAAGAGGUUUACGUGUUUGGAUAGCUAAAAAUACAAAACAAAAUAAUGAAAUCAUUAGUCUCAAUUUUCUUAUACUAGAUGAAAUCAUUAAUAUGAAAGUUAUAUUAAUAUGAACUUCACUCGUCUGAAGAUUUGAGGGAAGAAUGAAUAAUUUAGGCGAACCAAUGUUACAGAGCAAUUGCGGUUGAAAUAUUAAUAUGAAAGUUGUAUCUCUUAAUUUUCUUUACAUAAAAAUUGCAUUUAAUAGUUUUUGUAAUGAAAAAUUGUGUUUCUUGUUUUUAUUUUGUUCAUAUCCAUUUAUUAAUGAUUCACCUAAAUAUUUACAAUUUUUUAUAUCUAAAAAUUAGUAUAUUAAUAUGAAAAAUUGCAAGAAACACAGGAAAAGUCUACUCUGAGAGAGAUAACGGUUACAAGAUUGAACCGGCAUGAAAUUAUAGCAACCAUCGUGUACCAUGAGAUCCAACUUUUAAUGAGACUGCUCUCUUAUGAA